CGGCCAGGGAGGUCCGUCGGGAAAUCCACCAGCUCAACUGGUGGGCGUCCGGCGGAAACCCCCUGGCUUGGGACCGGAAGACCCGAGGGGUACGUCCGGGGUAGGAGUGAAAUCCCGUAAUCCCGGACGGACCGCCGAUGGCGAAAGCACCUCGGGAAGACGGAUCCGACGGUGAGGGACGAAAGCUGGGGUCUCGAACCGGAUUAGAUACCCGGGUAGUCCCAGCCGUAAACGAUGCCUGCUAGGUGUGGCACUGACUACGAGUCAGUGCUGUGCCGUAGGGAAGCCGAGAAGCAGGCCGCCUGGGAA
rnacentral:rRNA from 1 species